CUUGGAAUUUAACCUUCAAAAAUUGGAUUAAAAUUGAAGCCUGAAUCUCGUUGCACACACUAAGAGGUUAAGAUUUUCAUUGGAAUAAUUACAGUCGUCGGAAAGUUUUUCUAAACGGCACUCCUUAACAAUCUUGGUAAACGGUUUCGACUGUACACAGAGAAAUGACGACUUGACGUAACGGUUCGGUUGUACGCGAUUUACAUAUUUAUCAGCAACUUUUGUCUUCCUGUCCCCCACCCCCGUCCCAGGGUCCGAAGAGUUAGCGAAAAACUUAUCCGUUCCUCGACGACUUUUGCCAGACGGAACAGAAAGAAAGAAAAAAAAAAGAAAGAAAGAAGAAGAAGAGAAGAAAAGUGAAACCAUAACUGGAAAUCUAGAAUCGGCCACUGAUGCAAUCGGUGUUUGCUAAUACGGGCAAUGUUAUAGCUGUGUAAGCAAUGAUGUCAGCCGAUAUAACUUUUCUCGAAAUUAUCGACCGAGCGUUGUUUCUUCCCCCUCCACUCUCAUUUUACGCUUGAGAUGAUUAACCGAACGAAAUUACGUAUAUGUAUACGAGGAGAUAUCUCGAAACUUUUUAAAUAUAUUAUUAAAUAUAUUUUACAAGGUAUACGUUUCGUAAACUGAAUUUCCAUCGAAUUGUUGUUGCAUUGAUUAAAAAGUUCGACGACACUGGUAUUUCUUUUCAAUUCGAGUCACGAGUCUCGAAACUUCCGUUUUUUGAAUCACGCGUUCAAGCAAAAGUUCGAGUGUCGAUGUAAUAGCGAGGAAUAAAGUUACGUUUCUUUUUUUUUUUUUUUUUUGUUCUGCCCCGAUUUACGGCUUAACAAUUACGAUGAUCGACCUACAUCGAGCGGAUGCAACGAAGCGUCGUCGUCCAAGGAGGAGAAGGAGGGGGAGGAAUGGAAACUUUUGCGGAAAACGAGAUGUUGCUCGAUAAUCUUCGGCGAGCAUAGGCCAAACUUUUGCUGGAAGGAGGGCGCUGGUGAGCACGUGGAAAGAGAUGAAACGAGAGAUAAAUCUUCUCUUUCUUCGUUAAAAGAAAGAAAAAGAAGAAAAAAUUCCUUCGAAAAUUCGAUCUCAUCCUAUUUAAAGAAAAAAUGACUCAGAUUUUUAUUAUUUAUAAAGAGACAUUGCUCAAAUAAAAAGGUGAUAGAGUAAGAUUGGCACAGUUAUCGAAAAGUUUCACGAGAUUAUAGAAUCCCGGUUACAACGCGAUGAAAGUUGGCGAAAAAUUAUAGGACGCGAAGGAAUAUCCGUUGCUGGUUAGGUUGUCGAGUCUUUUAUAUUUCGCAUGUAUAUACGGGCGUUAUAUGUGGGUCAGUGGACACAACGAGUUACAAUUGCAAGGAUAAAAGUUAUUCCGGUAUCAGAUCAAGGAUCAAGAUUUAUUGCUUCGAAGAAAAGAUACGAAGAUUGAGGUGGCAAUUUUGAAAGAAGGAGGAAUAAUUAAUAAAUAUUCGAUAAUCGUUCGUUCGAUCGAUUGUUGGGGAAGAUAAGUCGGAAUGAAAGGGUUGGAAAGGAGAGAUUGACACGACUGACUAGCGAUCCGAACGGAACAGUGUAAUUAGUUGGGAACACGGUACGUAUUCAGGAAGCGGUUUAAAAACUGGGAGAAAAGUGUGUGUGUGUGUGUGUGUGUGUGUGUGAGGAAACGACGUGGGAAAUAAAAGUCGUUUUGCUGGAGAAGGGAGAGACGAUUGUGAUCGUUGAAACGAGUGGAAGAGGAAUAUUUUCGAUUUUUUUCCGUGAUAAAUUUGCAAUUGAAUGCAGAAGGGACUUGGCUAGGAUUAGAUUUUCUCCCCAGCGAUCGAAUUUGAAAUGGCAGAUUGGAUUUUUUGAAUUCUUGAAAUUUGUAAAGUAAAAUUUCAUCGUUCUCGAAUUUUUUUUUUUAAAUCUUUCGCAAUAAUUUUCCAUUCCAUUUCUCGAUUCGCGAAAACAAGUAAUAAAUAAUAAUUAUCUCGGAUAGAAAUCGAAAAAAAAUUUGAAUAGACAAAUAUUCGUUUUUUCACAACUCUCCUAUCUCUUCCCAACCAUCUUUAAAAUUACUUCACGCUUACUAUUGAGCAAUAGUAAUAAUAAUAAUAAUAAGCAAAUCAGACAAAGAAAGAACAAAUUUCUGGAUCUUUUUUUCAAUCCAUUUUCGAAAGGAAAUUUACAUCUCGUUAAUUUUACAAUUGCCUCUUCCAAUCAAGAUAAUUCGUCGCGAUAAAAAUAUAAUAUCUUCCAAGAUCUCUAUCUUUUUGCACAAAAGCGAGACACGGAGUCUCUUUGUUCCCCGAGGAAAAUUUCCUCUUAAUUGGAUAAUUCCACAUUUUUUCCACGUUUAAUCUAAAUAGAACAGGACGCCCUCUUUAAGAUAAAUAUUUCAUAAACGUUAUUUCAUUAAACAACGUAAUCCUCCUUCCUUUUAAUAAUCUCGUUUAAACAUUUCCCUCCCCCAUUCGAAAUUCGAGAAAGAAAUAUCUUUAGACUCCUCAACGAAUUUUCAAAUUUUCAAAUCUCGUGAU